GACGAACGCUGGCGGCGUGCUUAACACAUGCAAGUCGAACGGAAAUUCCCUUCUUUUGUGGGGUUCUCGAGGGGCAAGCGUGUGAGUAACACGUGAGUAUCCUGCCCUAGCUUGUGGGAUAACUUCAAGAAACUUGGUCUUAUACCGUAUAGUAGCUCCUGCUGCUUGUUGGGUUUUGGAAAGUUUCGGCGGUUGGGGAUGGACUCGCGUCUUAUCAGCUUGUUGGUGGGGUAGUGGCUUACCAAGGCGUUGACGGGUAGCCGGCCUGAGAGGGUGACCGGCCACAUUGGGACUGAGAUAAGGACCAGAAUCCUAAGGGAGGCAGCAGGGGGGAAUAUUGCAAAAUGGGAGGAAGCGUGAUGAAGAAACGCCGCGUGCGGGAUGACGGCCUUCGGGUUGUAAACAGUUUUCGCCUGUGACGAAGCGUGAGUGACGGUACUGGGUAAAGAAGCACCGGCUAACUACGUG
rnacentral:rRNA from 1 species